rnacentral:tRNA from 1 species
GGAGGCGAAAGGGGACUGGUGUCCCUCCCGGUCUUCAAAACCGGUGCGCCGGCUAAUCCCGGUGGGCGGGUUCGAUUCCCGUCCGCCUCCGCUCCA